CAUAUGUGUGUGAGCUGAGCUUUUCAAGCCUAACUGCUAUAAAAACUAAAAACAGAGAGAGACUGAAAGCUGGUGAAGAAGAGCUUUGUGUAUGCCUUUCUUCAAUUCCUGCCAGGAUAUCGGCUUUGUGUUCAUCUAAACAGGCCCAGGUUUCACACUGAGAAGCUGCCUUAAUCACGAUGUACCCAGGCUACGCAGGCAGGACCGAGCUCCGGGACAACCUGGAGGCCGCUUCAGAUCCGUCUCCAUGAUUGUGCCCGACCACGCAGUCAUCGCAGAGGUGGACUUGUGAGCUGAGGGCUUCAAGUCCAGUGAGACUCUGGCGAAGAAGAUGAUUCAGCUGUAUAAGCUGUGCAGCAAGCAGCUUUCCCGGCAGGACCACUACGACUUCAGCAUGAGAGUCGUCAACUCUGUUAUCGUCAUGGCCGGGUAUGUCCGUCUACGAACAGGGUGAACAUAUUAGGUUAGAUUAGAUUCAUACGCUGUUUUUUCUAAAUUGUUAAUUAAAACUAUCUAUAAAUGUAACAGAUGUCUUGCUGGAAUAAAUCGAGCGUGUGUGUGU